GCAGAGGAGGUGACAUGUCAGCUGGUGCAGGAUGAAGAGAGGUGGCUGCUGAGGAAGGCCUCAGGAGCUCCACUGGCUCAACUUGGAAACUUGGAUGUGCUUGUUGGGGGUGUGUGGCCUUGCUGAGGGACUCAAAUCGGGGCCCUGCCCUCUGGGCCUCUUUCUGCCUCCACCCAAACUGCCCUCUGGCCCCGGGCCUGGCCUGUAAGUCUGCAUCAUCUUCACUGUGACAUCUCUGAAGAACCGACAGACAGUUCUGGACAGCUGCCCCUGCCCAGGCCCUGCGGAGGCCCUGCCAGGACCUGGCUCCAGUUUCCACCAGCCCUAGGGAGCAGUGGCUUCAGAGGUUCCUCCUACCUUCUUGCCAAGCACCAUUCCCAGAGGGGAGGGGGGGCAGGGCCAGGUCCUGGCCUCCACCCAUCCUUCCCCUAAAUCUCUGCUGGA